GCUUUCCUGUGGCUCAGUUGGUAGAGCAUUGUGCUAAAAACGCAAAGGUUGUGGGUUCAAAUCCUAGGGAAAGCA